AUUGAACGCUGGCGGCAGGCCUAACACAUGCAAGUCGAACGGAGCGGCGGACGGGCGAGCAGUGUAUGGGCAUCUGGCUGAUGGAGGGGGAUAACGUGCGGAAACGGGCGCUACUAGCGCAAACUAUCCGAUCGGCCUAGGUUGGAUUAGCUAGUUGGUGGGGUAAAGGCCUACAAAGGCGACGAUCCGUAACUGGUCUGAGAGGAUGAUCAGUCACACUGGGACUGAGAAACGGUCCAGACUCCUACGGGAGGCAGCAGUGGGGAAUAUUGGGCAAUGGGCGAAAGUCUGACCCAGCCAUGCCGCGUGUGUGAAGAAGGUCUUCGGAUUGUAAAGCACUGUAAGUUGGGAGGCGUUAUCAAAAGAAUAAGCACCGGCUAACUUCGUGCCAGCAGCCGCGGUAAUAC
rnacentral:rRNA from 1 species